rnacentral:rRNA from 1 species
AACGAACGCUGGCGGCAGGCCUAACACAUGCAAGUCGAACGCUCGUAGCAAUACGGGAGUGGCAGACGGGUGCGUAACGCGUGGGAACAUACCCUUUGGUUCGGAAUAACUCAGGGAAACUUGAGCUAAUACCGGAUACGCCCGAGAGGGGAAAGAUUUAUUGCCGAAGGAUUGGCCCGCGUCUGAUUAGCUUGUUGGUAGGGUAACGGCCUACCAAGGCGACGAUCAGUAGCUGGUCUGAGAGGAUGAUCAGCCACACUGGGACUGAGACACGGCCCAGACUCCUACGGGAGGCAGCAGUGGGGAAUAUUGGACAAUGGGCGCAAGCCUGAUCCAGCCAUGCCGCGUGAGUGAUGACGGCCCUAGGGUUGUAAAGCUCUUUUACCCGGGAAGAUAAUGACGGUACCGGGAGAAUAAGCCCCGGCUAACUCGUG